UCUUAGCGGGCCAAGGACUGGAAAUGAACACUGGCGGGGUUAUCAGUGCCGAUCUGUCAGCAGCAAGUCGCGCACUGCUUGUCCCAGGCAGCAGCAGUGAUAUACGUCUUAUUCCUUUGAGCUCACAAAAGGGAUUUCUUUCGACAAGCUGGACAUUGGAAGAAGGCUGCGAGAAGGGAAUUGAACAUGAGAAACACUCUUGUGGGAGUGGAUUCUUACAGGAACACCCCAGUCACUGUGGCUUCAGCGUGGCUGCAUUUAUGAAAGGCUGGAAGUAGAAAACUCUGGAAUGGAGAGACUAGCAGCUGGAACAGGAUUCAAAGGCUUUAAAUUUUAACCCGAGUUCGAUCGAAAGUUACUACCACAAGAGACUGGCACGGGCCGGCCCAAUUCCCACCACGGCUUCCAGCGGCUUGCUUUGGGUUGUCCGGUAAGUUCCAACCAAAUUUUUAAGCGGGUUGGGUUCUGCGAAGUUCAUUUGUAAGCAAUUCAUUAAAGCUUCGGACAUCGCUUUUUCAUUUGAGUCCAAUUUUCCGAAAUAAUGUCUCCAGUUUGCUCUUAAAAGCAAUUUUUACAGUUCGUAUUUGCUAAUAAAAUAAUAAAUGACUUGGCUAACUAAAUUUGGCGUCCUGGCUGUGAACGACCUUCAAGGUUGAGGAACAUCGAGCUCCGACGCGAGCCUAGUUCCAGUCCUGUGGGGGGGGGGGGUGGCUUUGUUUUGUUUUGUUGUUCGAGGGGUUAUCCUGUGUAAAUUUCCUGGAACAAUAGCAAACCCCUACUGCUCUGCUUUCCUGAAGCUAGGCGUCGAAGACUAGAGAACACACUGACCCUGGCGCCUCUGGGACAGAGGUGAGGAGUUCGACCCAAACGAACAGAUUCGACAACAUUCGGACUCUAGAGGCUGGGGAAGAAACCCAUAAUUUUACCGUCCUCAUUCCCAAUCAUUUUAGUAGUGCCUCCAACCACAAGAAAACCGAUAGAUCAUUGUUUUUCCUUUCAGGGCUCAAAAUUCACCUUUUAAACUUUUUUUAAAGACUAGCUUUCCGAAAGAGGAAUAGGUUAGAGAAAUAUUUUUUUUUCCAUCUCAGUUAAUGUAAAAAUAAAACCUGUCCGGUUGACUAAGACAAAAACCUAGACUGCUUGCAGACUCUAAUUUGUUUUGGGUUUUUUUCUGGACUCACGGACUCUGGCGACGACACCCCAGCCUAGCAAGCAAAGGCACAUUUCAAAGCCCUCCCCUAUCGGCCUCAGGCUGGACUCUCCAGGGAAAUGGAAGCCAGCAGAAUCCGGGGUGCGGAGGGGAAGGUGGCACACCAACCUAGGGGAACCCCAAAAUGAAGAUGGUCCCCAUCAUGCCCCAAAUAACUCCUGGAAGUUUCUUUCUUAGUGUUUUUCUUCUGUUUUGUUUCUUUCUUUUCAACUCCUUUUCUCUUGUCCCCUCCUGUCUUUCCCAAGCUGGCUUUGCUAGUCUUGACUGGAAUCGUUUUGCUCAGAACCAUUUAGACCCAAGGAGCAGACCCUCCGAAAGAAAGCUGACUCUAGGGCACUGCCUGUUCCCCUAUGCUCAUUUAUUUGGUCCGGACCAAACCACCACUUGCCUUUCAAAUCUAGCCGGAACACAGCAGCCAAUAGGGCAGGGGGCGGGGGCUCUGUAGCUAAAACGGAAGAGGUGUUUGGGGACUCGAUGGCACGCGGCUUCCGGGGGGCACCACAGAUCCGGGCCUGGAUGUGUAUCGCUAUACAUCUUUGGCCUUGCAAACUCAAGCUCAUUACCUGUCAUUUCACGAAGCUUCUACCUGCUCGAACAUUGAUUCAAAAGUGGGGCAAGGGGUGUUGAUACAUACACAUACAAUUUCUGUGUUAAUAAACAUGGUUCGAACUUUAGCUUUUAAAAAUUACGGUAAAGCUAUAACUCACUGGUGAAUUGCUUAAUGUUCAAGGAUGUGGGUUCGAUUCUCACGCACUAC
ensembl:lincRNA 1010001N08Rik RIKEN cDNA 1010001N08 gene